CGGAGAGCGUAGAAGGCUCCACAAAAUCUGAGGCCUUUAUCUUCCCGCGAAACGUUUCUACAUUUUUCCCCCGACCUCUGACAUUAUCAAUGGCGUCAAUAUCGGCCAUUGGCUAUCUUCCGCAGUCCCUGACGUUAUCUGCUUCAAGAGCUUCACCUGCAAAGUGGCGCCGACCAGUAGUGGCUCAAUCUUUUCAGCGAUACUAUGGAGUUUUUUAUUCAAGUUCUUGCGGUGAAAGUAAUCCAAUUGCUUAUAGACAUGAUUUUGUGCGAAGAAAAGUUUUGAUAUCAACAAUUGGGGUGUUAGCUGGAGCCAUGUGGAAUCCUUCGAGCGAUAUGGAGGCCGUAGCAUCUGAAUUUGCUGACAUGCCAGCACUUAGGGGCAAGGAUUAUGGCAAAACGAAAAUGAGAUAUCCGGACUACAUAGAAACAGAAUCAGGUCUCCAGUAUAAGGAUUUGCGUGUAGGAACUGGCCCCAGGCCGACAAUGGGAGAGACAGUAGUGGUUGAUUGGGAUGGGUACACCAUAGGAUACUAUGGCCGGAUAUUUGAAGCUCGAAACAAAACAAAAGGUGGUUCGUUUGAGGGGGAUGACAAGGACUUCUUCAAAUUUAGACUGGGAUCACAGGAGGUAAUACCAGCUUUUGAGGAAGCUGUUUCAGGAAUGGCUCUGGGUGGCAUCAGGAGAACUUUGACCAUGCUAAUCAGCUCACGUGAUGCAGGAUCAUUGUUCCCCCAGAACUAGGAUAUCCUGAGAAUGACUAUAACAAGAGUGGUCCGAAACCGACAACAUUUUCGGGUCAACGAGCAUUAGAUUUUGUCUUGAAGAAUCAAGGGCUGAUAGAUAAGACUCUUCUGUUUGAUAUUGAGCUUCUUAAGAUAAUUCCAAAUUGAUCCCUAGGUCAAUAGACUUAGCUUCCAGCAUCUGCGAAUUGAGGAUGGUAUUGUAUUGCCUCCUUAAAUUUGGAAGAAGAUUUACAAGUUCUCUGGUUUGCCAAUAUUUGUUCUCUCUGUACUUAUACUGAUACACAUUGUGUGGGUCAAUGCAUUAUAUUUUCAGUUACAUUGCGAGGAGGCAUGUCACGAGGAACUAAUAAUCAAUGUGGGAUGCUAAGUUGAUUGCUAUUGAUUAUAUCAUUAUUAUACCGAAACAUAAA